UCGCGACGCGCCACGUGCGGUGCUACAUACACCAACGGGAAGAGAUACGACCUAUGAAAUUCGUUUCUUCCUUCCUCUUCUUCUUCCUCUUCUUCUUCUUCUUCUUCUUGUCCUUCUUCUUCUUCUUCUUCUAUUUCUACUACUCGUUCUUCCUUUUCUUUCUUAUCCUAUCGUUUGUCUUCUUCAUCUUCAUUUACGUCUCUCAGUUUUAUGUACAUUUUCUAUCAGUUGUUUCCUAUCCUAGUGUCCAUCAGAGUCAAUUUGUUAUAAUGACGAAUUUUUGUUUACAUUGACAGUGAAUAAGACGUUUUCUUUUCGUUUCUCUCUUUCUCUCUUUCUUUCUCUCUUUCUCUCUCGUUGAAAACUAGAGUUUCUCGCGUCAAAUUCAUUCGUCGAGGGAAAUAAAACAACAGAAGACGAGAGUGUGCUACUACUACUAUCUAACCGUGUUAAAGGACGAGAAAAUAACUUGAAGAAAAAACCAAAACAAAAACUAUAACAAAAAGACGAGCCGAGGAAUCGGGGGGACUGGUGGGUGGUGGGUGUUGGGUGGUGGUGUUGGGUGGCUUUCAAAUCUACUCUAUGAGAAGGGAAAGGCUUGAAGAGAGAACAAUAAAGAACGAUCGGAGAAUACCGACGGAAAAUGUCGCUAGUCGAUGGUCUCAGGACGUGAGUGAGAAGUUGAUUAUUAAAAUAUAAAGUGUCGAUAAGCCGGUUGAUAAACCUUCCUCACCCCAAAAACCCAAUAAAAAGAAGAAGAAGAACAACAACACGUCAACUAUUAACAAUACGGAGGAGGAUUUCAACAAUAUGUCUUACCUGGCUUUGGACUCCAACGCAUGGCAGUUGUGACCGAAGAACGGUGCUCGACCUUUGGAUGAUAAUAUUUCGGCGGUAAAGUUCAAAAUGACGUUCAGAUGCAUGCCGGC
rnacentral:lncRNA from 1 species